rnacentral:rRNA from 1 species
GUGAGGAAUUUUCCGCAAUGGGCGCAAGCCUGACGGAGCAACGCCGCGUGUGUGAUGAAGUCCCUCGGGAUGUAAAGCACUGUCGGAGGGGAUGAAUAAAUGACAGUACCCUCCAAGAAAGCCCCGGCUAACUACGUGCCAGCAGCCGCGGUAAUACGUAGGGGGCGAGCGUUAUCCGGAUUUACUGGGCGUAAAGCGCGUGUAGGCGGUUGCGUAAGUUAGUUGUGAAAUCCCUCGGCUCAACCGAGGAACUGCAGCUAAUACUGCGUGGCUGGAGUGGCAGAGAGGAAAGUGGAAUUCCCGGUGUAGUAGUGAAAUGCGUAGAUAUCGGGAGGAACACCAGUGGCGAAGGCGACUUUCUGGCUGCUAACUGACGCUGAGACGCGAAAGCUAGGGGAGCGAACGGGAUUAGAAACCCUGGUAGUCC